UGGGGAAUAUUGGACAAUGGGCGAAAGCCUGAUCCAGCCAUGCCGCGUGUGUGAAGAAGGUCUUCGGAUUGUAAAGCACUUUAAGUUGGGAGGAAGGGCAUUAACCUAAUACGUUAGUGUUUUGACGUUACCGACAGAAUAAGCACCGGCUAACUCUGUGCCAGCAGCCGCGGUAAUACAGAGGGUGCAAGCGUUAAUCGGAAUUACUGGGCGUAAAGCGCGCGUAGGUGGUUUGUUAAGUUGGAUGUGAAAGCCCGGGCUCAACCUGGGAACUGCAUUCAAAACUGACUGACUAGAGUAUGGUAGAGGGUGGUGGAAUUUCCUGUGUAGCGGUGAAAUGCGUAGAUAUAGGAAGGAACACCAGUGGCGAAGGCGACCACCUGGACUAAUACUGACACUGAGGUGCGAAAGCGUGGGGAGCAAACA
rnacentral:rRNA from 1 species